rnacentral:sRNA from 1 species
UAGGAGACAGAGGAUGGUCGCGAUAGC